rnacentral:rRNA from 1 species
AAGACUAGGAACACCUGUACCUUAUACACUAAAAAAACUUUUCGCCUAAGUGAAAAGACUUAGAUAAUGAAGGAAGACGAAAAGACCCCGCGGAACUUUACCUUCUCCCACUCCCCUGCCCAGAAGCACAAAAGACCAAAG